AUUGAACGCUGGCGGCAUGCCUUACACAUGCAAGUCGAACGGCAGCGCGGACUUCGGUCUGGCGGCGAGUGGCGAACGGGUGAGUAAUGUAUCGGAACGUACCAUUCAGUGGGGGAUAACGCAGCGAAAGUUGCGCUAAUACCGCAUAUUCUGUGCGCAGGAAAGCAGGGGAUCGCAAGACCUUGCGCUGAUUGAGCGGCCGAUAUCAGAUUAGCUAGUUGGUGAGGUAAAGGCUCACCAAGGCGACGAUCUGUAGCGGGUCUGAGAGGAUGAUCCGCCACACUGGAACUGAGACACGGUCCAGACUCCUACGGGAGGCAGCAGUGGGGAAUUUUGGACAAUGGGCGCAAGCCUGAUCCAGCCAUGCCGCGUGAGUGAAGAAGGCCUUCGGGUUGUGAAGCUCUUUCGGCCGGGAAGAAAUCGUAUGGGUUAAUACCCUGUGCGGAUGACGGUACCGGUAUAAGAAGCACCGGCUAACUACGUGCCAGCCGCCGCGGUAAAAC
rnacentral:rRNA from 1 species